rnacentral:lncRNA from 1 species
AGGUCACAAGAUUGCGCCAACCCUUACAUGGUCCUUAAAAAAAAAACCUUCUGACACUGCAGUAGUGAAAAUGAAGCGCACGAUGGGCGGAAGCUAGGAAGACAAACAUAAAGAUGAAGUGCUUAAUUCAAGGUCACACAAUGUCGGGGAUGGACCUCCAGAUUUCCUUACUGGAAAACAAGCUCAGGGCUCCCACUGAUUGUACAUUAUGGUGAGACGUGGUCUUGUAACACAGUGGUUAAGAAUGUGACUUUGGAGCCAGCCUGCUAGGGGCUGAAUUCUGACUCAGCCAUUUACUAACUGUGUGACCUUAGGGAGGAGGACCUGGUUGAUAGAAGAAUUUAUCUCGUAGUCUUAACAUCCACUGUAAUUCCAAACUUUGAGGACGAUAGAGAUCAGUGGGCUUUGACUGCCCAGCAUGCAGUCUCCAUUCUUAGGUCUAGGGGUCUCACCAACGCUGCUCAUCUAGCAGGGCCACACAUAACAAAUAGAAGCAGAGCAAGCCCUGGAACUCCUGCCUGACAGUGACACGACGACAGAAACAUCUUACCAGUCAGAGGACCAUGAGAAAUAGAUUCAAGGAGCAUUCCACGUGCAAGUGAGUCUUGGCCCCAUCUGCCUUUGGAUUUUAGCCGUGAACUGGAAGGUAUUGGAAAGAAGACCCUCAGAAAUAGCUUAAUCAAAAUCCCUGCGUCUGAACCAAGUGCCUUAUUUCUCUGUGGGCCUCAAGCUUCGCUGACAUCUGUGGAGCACACUGUCCUAACAGGAGUGCUGUCUGAUUUCCCAACGCUCUGCAAAACAAACAGCCUGGAAGGGUGGCUGGUGGAAGGUGGUUUUUAGAGAGAGACUUGUAGAUAACAGGAAAGUGAAGGCUGUAAGGAAGGUUGUAAUUAAACAGCACAUGGAAACACAAUCACAUUAUUGUCCCAUUCCAUAGGGAUAAUGAUGACCACUUCAGUGGGAAAAGGAGAGG